AAAGCAGAUGCACGAGGUUGAAAAUUUAGCCAAAGUUCAAGAGUAAGUAAAACCUAUAGAUGAAGAUAUAGGUACCAUCUUUUACUUAGCAUCACAGAACAUUAAUGUGAAAUGGAAUCACAACUUUAUUCUUCUGAUACCUGGAUCAUGGAUUUAGAGGCUACAGAACUAGCUUACUUCCUGAGGAUAUGACUGAAGAGGCAUGUUAACUAUAUGAAAGAGUACAGCAAACAUUGCAUUCAUCUGCAGAGCCACAUUUAGCUUGAUCAAGAAACUAUGGAGAGGAACUGAGACGGAAGAAGGUAUCUGUGGCAUGCCUCUUAAAACCUGCAGAAUGA